CUCCCAUCAGCCACCAGCAGAUUCAACUUCCUUAGCUCCCAAAGCUAUUUUAAAGUCACCCUAUGACACUGACUUAUCUGUUUAUUGCAAAUAAGUGCAUGAGGGAGUAUUCAAGGAAUUUCCUCAGCUGUAUGCUCCAGCCCUGCAAGCAGGGUAGUACCUGCUGCCAGUGCACAGCCCACGGUGAGCCUGGGCACUGGAAGGCUUGGUAAAGCACAGGAGGCCUCUCACAAGCAGGAGAGUGUUUGCUCUUCCUGAUCAAUGGCCUCACAUUAGUUUUUAAAAAAUGUUGAAUAUGAAGUUUGGAUCUGGCCUGAAAACAGCAUUUUUUAGUAUGAGACCAAGGCACAAAGGGCUGAUGGCUGCUGCAUUUAUAGCCUAAGUGAUCAAGUGACUGCCUGUUAAGCCCAAAUCAAUGCACAAGUGUUUAUUUAUUUGAUGCAGAUGAAGAAUUUCAGGAAAGAUUUGAGAGACUUUAAAAAUCUGGCUUUGGGAAUUCAUCUUCUCCAUCUCUUUUGAUCUAAACCAGUGUAACUUGCUUUACAAUCAGUUUUCAGUGGAACCACAGAUGAGGAUAAAUCAGCACUGCAGAGGGUAGGAUUUGGAGCAACAGAACCAAAUUAGGAUCAAAAUCACGCUCUGCUGGGUGUUACACAAAUGCAUAGACACUGUAGCUGGUCCACAUAUUUUGCAGUCUACAUGAUGAAGAUCACAUUUGCUGGUAAUAAACAGCAGGAGGG